CCUUAGUAUUCAUUUUGGUUUUCUUAAACAGCUUGUACUUUUUGUUUCUUUCUUGUGUUGCAGGACUGAUUCCUUAUCCAACAUCACUUUCUGGACUACCUAGAAUCCAACUAUCAUGUAAAUGAUUAUUACUCUUCAAGAAGAAAUCCACUAACAGCAUCCUUUUCAGAAAGUGAAUCCAAGCACCUUGGAGAUAAGAAGAGAGAAGAGAAAGGGAGCUCCCAGUAGAAGAACGGUCCUGAAAAAAAAAAUUAUAGCCCCAAACCUACAUACCAUAUUCAGCCAAAUAAAAGUCUUAUAAGUGUCAAAAU
rnacentral:lncRNA from 1 species